AGUAGCUCUUGUAAUAUCUACUCUAAAAGGAACUGUCAAUAAUGAAACCUGCUUCCUGCUGGUCCACCAUAACACUCUAUAUCUCCCACAGUCUCCUAGCCUACAGAAGCAUGUUUUCCACAGUUCACUUCAUAGAGGAGAUCCACAUUCCUCACCUGGCACUUUGGGAUGUAACCGGAGUCAUUGCGUCACAUGAAGUGGACAGCCAUGUACAUAGGUGAAUCAGAGAGAUGGCUAGCAGACGGUUUAAGGAAGCAUGAGAA